rnacentral:lncRNA from 1 species
GCGUAGAAUUUGACGGUGUUCGGCCGGAAAAUGAACCAGAUGACGAGGACGGCGAGUCCGGCGAUGAUGAGGAUGGUGAAGACGAUCUGGCAGAUGCAGGUGCAGAUGCAGUUCAUGAUGCAGCUGCAGCAGCAGCUGAAGGGGUUGCAGCAGCAUCCGCCGCCGCCGCCGUCGCGGCCGGGGCGGUGGUAGGUCUUGGACGGCGGCGGAAUGGAGGGGCCGUAGUAGGCGCCGUUCAGAUGCGGUUGUUGUCGAGUUUCUCCCAUUGGUGGAGAAAACUUUUGGGGGAGCGGUUGAGGGUUUGGGCGUAGCAGAUAUUUUUGUGUGGGGUUCAGAUUAAAUAGGUUUCUAACUCUUUAUUUGUACAAUAGAAUAAAAAAAAAUUAAAAAAAAAAAAAAAAAAAAAAAAAAAAAAAAAACCAUUUGUGUAUUUAUUGGGAAAACUUUCCUUCUAUUUUUGAAAGCAAAUUGGAGUUAUUAGAAUGUUUAUCUUUUAAUUAAGAUGAUUAAGAUAUAUUAACAUUUGAGAUUAGAUUAUAUUAGUCAUGGACUAGGAGUCUAGGACCCAUAAUUAAAUUAAAUUCGAUUUUAUCAAUUGGGAAUCUUCUUGGACUUGUAGCUGUAAUUGUGGGCUUGUAGUUAUGAUUUUGGGUUUAGGCCCAUUAGUAGCAAAUUAUAGGAAUUUGAAAUCCAAAUAAGUGAUCUCGAAUUGCAUGGAUUUUGCAAUUAAAGAUCGAGCUAUCUUAAUUUCAUUCAUACAAAUCCAAACUGAGCAAUUUGUUUAGUCUAAAUAAAACAAAAAAAAAAAAAAAGUUUACCUAAUGUACCUAUGUGGUUGGUUGCAGAUUCUUUAAUUACUAAAAAGGAAAAAAAAAACGAAGCUCCAAAGCUAUUUAAAAUUUACUACAUUUUCGAAGCAAAUAAGAGUAUAAGACAAACAACAAAACCCGGAUAUCAAUCUCCCGUCGAAUUAAAGAAUCUCACAUUGCAUAAAAACCUUAUAAAUUGAACAUUAAAAUCAUAUACGUUAAUUUGUCUAGCUUAUAUAUAACAUAAGAUUGAAAAGCUUCUCAAUUGUAUAUUCCUUCCUUCCUCUAAAAAAGAAUAUAUAUUCCUUAUUUUGAAAUUUUCCCAGAUUCCCUUUUUCAAAUAUAUUGUCAAAAUAAAAAUUAAAAACGACCAAAUCAUAGCACAUAUUUUGAAGAAGUAUAAAACCUUUCAUUUUUUAUUUUUUUUAUUUUAGUUUGACAAUUCAGUAAAUAUAUUAAUAUAUAAUCUUUCAAGUAAGCAAUUUUUUUGUAUUAUCUCAUUUUAUUCCUUUUUAUUCAAAGCAAGUUUAUAGGGACGUCUGACCUGCCACAUGCUCACUUAUUAAUAUUAUUGUCAACUUGUGCUGCCAAUUCAAUGUUUUAAUUUACACUGCAACGUGAAGAAAGCCGUUUUUUUAUAAUACUCCUGAUUAUCUAUAUGAUUGAAUGGAUUUGUUUCGUAUAUUUGAUCAAAUAACUACCAAAUAAGUAUACAUAUACACACAUGAGUGUGUAAUUAUUUGUAGAUUUAUGGUUCAAAUUCACCUAGUGUAAUAACUAUUUCUAAAUACACCCGAUAAAAAAAUCAUGGAAGUAACAGAAUGAAAACUAGUCGUUAUUUAUUCACAAAGAACACGUAUGAAAAAUGAAAUAUGUAUGAUCGGAGGACGAUCGUAUAAUUUCAUGACUAAACAAAAGAAUAAUCGUAUAGAAUAGCAAAAUGAUAUAUAAGAGGUAAAUCAACGCACACGAAAAAAUCGAAUUAAAGCAGUAUAUCGGAGAAUAUAUAUAUAUCGGAAAAUGUGUAUAAGUGCGAUCAGCGCCAAUCGAAAUCACACCUCUCGGGUUCGUAAACCCCAGACGCCGACGCGGUGCCGUUGGAAGUCAACGGGAUUUUCAAAUCGCAGUCAAUCUUCGGCUUCACCCUCCAUGAUUUCACGAACCUGAACUUCAAUCGGAUCUUCAGAUACAGCUUCACGUCGAUUUCGUAUCUGCCGGAGAUUUUCUCUUCGUUGUAGUCCUUCAUCUCUUUGGUUCCGAGGAGGACGAUUUGCUGGCCUUUGAAUUCGGCGAUCUGAGAAGUGGUGUUCUUGUGGCCCUGGUAGAAAUUGGGGAGCUGCACGGUGGAGAAUCUCUGGCCGUGGUAAAAAGCCCUAGCUUCGAUCUGGUCGUAGUAGAUUCCGAUUCGCUUGUUAGGGUUUCGGAUCGUGAGGUUCAGAGCCAGAUUGUAGUGGAGCGUGCUGUUGUCGAGGGUGAACUGGGUCAGAGUGGCGUCGGCGGCGUAGAAUUUGACGGUGCUCGGCCGGAAAAUGAGCCAGAUGAUGAGGACGGCGAGUCCGACGAUGAUGAGGAUGGUGAAGAUGAUCUGGAAGACGCAGGUGCAGAUGCAGUUCGCGAUGCAGCUGCAGCAGCAGCUGAACGGGUUGCAGCAGCAUCCGCCGCCGCCGCGGCCGGGGCGGUAGGAGGACUUGGCCGGCG